rnacentral:lncRNA from 1 species
AAAGAAAAAUAUUUAUUUAUCAUUAUCUUCUGUAAUUAUAAAAAAUAUGGAUAAAAUUAUGGAAUGAAUAUUAUAAAAAUUAUUUAAAUAUUAAUUUUUGAGACAAAUUGAAAGCAGAUAGACUAAUUUACGAAUAGACUUUGAAUGAAGAACUUUUACGAAUAACAUGUUUUCUAACGGAUAAACUUCGGACAUUGCUUGAUUACCUGGUUCAAAGAUUAAAUGUUGGACGUCUUUUAUGUGUGAUAUGUGUUCAUGAUAUAUUAUUUAGAAAGUUUGGAAUCUUUAAGCAUGACAGGCGACACGUCAUACUCGUUUAAUCGAAUAAGAAUAUUGUUUCUAAAGGAUUUGACCAUGGAAGACGAGGGUGCUUUAGUAAGAGGAGUAUGAUUGAUCGCUCAACCAUCAAGAGAUAAGCAGAUUGACGAGAAAAUUUUUAACAAGUAUGAAAAAAGUAAUUAAUAAAAAUUACAAACACUAUAAAAUUAUUAAAAAUAUACAAUCUAAAGUAAGUUUUUCUUUUUUAAAUAUCGAAUUAAAUUGCAUUUCUUCUUCAUGUUUAUGCUUCACUCUAUUGCCUUCUCUUCUCUGGUUCAAAAUUCGGGUCUUGAUCGAUCAAUGAUAGUUAGAGAGUUAAUCGAGAAAAGACUUUUAUUUAUCUUGAAUGUUUGUGGUACGAACUAAUUUCUAAUGCUUUUCUUUCUUUAUAUUUACACGUAAAUUAGAUUAGAAACUUUGAAAUUAUUGCCGAAAAUUGUAGAAAAAGAAGAAUUUGAUCUAGUACUCGCGGAGAAAGAGGAUCGAUGUCGUAAAAUGUUUGUAAACUAUAAUAUUAGUUUCCGUACGAGAAACCAGUAGAAACGAAAGUUCUUCCUCUGAUUGGUUCACUUAUAAGAAUAAAAUAAUUGCACCAAAUGAAGAAGAUUGCAAUUGGAUCACUGACAUUUCUAUGAAAAGUUUUUCCUUCUUGAGAAAAAUCCACUUUAUAAUAAAAAUUGGCUUACCUUAGAAUUUCUUAAGCUUCUUUUAUCAUUAAAAAGAAAAGAAAAGAAAAGGAAGAAAAAACGAAGAAAAGCCAAAAAAAAAACAGCUCUCGAAGUAAAAGCAAAUUCAUUUUCACAAAUGAAUCCAAGAAACUUUUUGCAUCUUUAUCGUCAUAGCGGAACGUUGAACCAUCAAACCUCUUAAUCAACCAACUUCUAAAAACGAACACACGUGAUCCGGGUUCGUUUCUUACGGGGAGAUCCGUGGAAUUCCUUAAUUUUGUGAAAUUCGAUCAAGAUACACGAUAUUCGCGUGGCCGACGCAUUCCACUUAUCAAUGAAAUAUCGUGUCGCUGUUUAAUUCCAGAUGACACGAUCUCGAGCAAACCUUACCUAUUCCAUAUAUUUCCUCCAAUCCUUUCCUCCGGUCCUUUUCUUACCACAUUUCGUUUUUUUCUCCCCUCUUCCGCGAUCCUUUCGUUCUUUCGCCUCUUAUCGUGGCCAAUACACCAGGUAUGUGUGUCGCUCGAUAAGUUGUAUUGUUCCUGGCCGGGUUGGUUCGUUGCGUCGAGCUUAUCGACCAAGAAUGAAAAAGGAAGUAAGGCGAAAUUCGUCGCGCCAAUCGUUUUUCGACCACCUGAAAUGUGCUCCCUACGGAUGAUCGAUUCUCGAAAGGAAAAAGGAAGACUUCGCCUUCUAUUUCUGAUCAUCGCGAUUUAAAUAAAAAAAUCCUUGAGAUCCAGUACCGUUCCUGUAAAAUUUUUUAAUUUUUAUCUAUCUAUCUAUCAACGUUUAUGAUUAUCUUUUUAUGGAUGAUUUAUAGUUACAUUAUGGAAAUAUUGGAAAUAGUGGAAUAUUUUUAAUCAUGAACGCAAAAUUUAAGGAGCUUAAAUAUUACUUUUUUCAUACUGAAACUUGUAGUAUCUAAAAUCUAUUUUGCAUAUAAAUAAUUGUAAAAUGAUAAAAAUAAGUAA